AACACACACCAUCUUCACAACAUCUUUUGCCUUCUCUCAGAAAAAUCACCGACAUUAUCCCAUUAUACCAUGGAGGCCUGGAGGAAGACAACCAUGUGUUGUUUGAUUCUUUUCUGCCUUAUGGCUACAUGUAAUGAGGUUUCAUCUACCGAAAACAUGUGCUAUCACAACCAUUGGAAUAAAUGCCAUCCUGAUCAAAAUGGAAUGUGUCGAGAUAGUUGUGUGAAAGACGGAUGGGAUGAUGGACAAUGUCGGAAGAGGUUUAAAAGACUAAUGGGUGCCAAGUGCGAAUGUUACCCUAAGACUUGUGAUCAUUAGGGAGGCAACAUGCGACUUUCUUCUACCAAGUUACUACUAUUUAUAAAUUUACAUCGGUUUUAAUGAUUGACGUCAAACAUGUUGUAACACCAAUCAUGGUGAAUACUAUAUCACCUUCUAUUUAUUUCUUUAUUCCAGACCAUUGUAUUCAAAUUAUGAUGUUACACAAUUAUACCUAAUUACUGUUUGAUGUAUCCUUAAACUAAACAGAUUUUUGAGUGCUUAUUAGCAACA